UAAGUCUAAAAAUAUGAAUUAUACGUGGGGCUUGUCAUUCUGACAUUUAAUACUUCAGCGUGGUGAUAAUGGUGAUAUAAUAUACUGUUUGAAAUUGUAACACAUGAGUUAAAAUCAAAAGAUUGAUAAGUACAUAUUUGUAUAUUGCUACAUGACAAAAAUCUAGGAAGAAUAUGAUUCACAUGAAAAUUCUUUGGAAGGACAUGACAGACUUUUAACAGUCCUGUAUAGUGAAAGGAGAAUAGAACGACUACUUCUACUUUCUGUAUCUGAAAUUUUCAAAAGCUAUUUCAAAAUGAACAUUUAAACAACAGGAAAUUUUAGAGACAACCACUUUGUGCCUGUCUUCAUCCUUGACAUUCAACAUCCUAGGAACAAUGGGCUGUUGUAUUCAACUUCUUAUUCCCAACAGCCAUUAUGAAUGGUUUUUGAUUGAUCUCACAAAGAGCAUGUGCUUUAGACAUUAAUGCAGCGACUACCAUGAAACAGAGUAUUGGAUUACCUAAGGAAAGAAGCAGAGGAUGGAAUUUGAGGCAAUCAGGAUGAGUGAAAAAUUGAUUUGCAGCUGACCUGCAAAUGGAAUCAUCAGGAACAUCCCUUUCUCAUGGAGUCCCUUAAUUUACAAGUUAACUGCAAACAUAGGUAAGAAGGUUCUGGUGCUAUUUGGGGGUGAGGUAUUGGUGAGGUUUUGCCUAAGCUCAGGAAAAU
rnacentral:lncRNA from 1 species